UGCAUGGUACCACCUUGAGUUUAGUUGGA
rnacentral:piRNA from 1 species